GGGGGUGUAGCUCAGGGGCAGAGCAUGUGACUGCAGAUCAAGAGGUCCCUGGUUCGAAUCCGGGUGCCCCCU
rnacentral:tRNA from 1 species